CCCACUACCGUAUUUGGAUGUUGUAUACCUAUGCAAUGUAGAAACCGACUAUACUUUCACUCCUCCUGCUCAGUGAUUAGGUGAUUCAGGGACAACUUUUGAAUCAUACUAGAGUGUGAGCUUCCUUACUCCGGAAGACCCCAUUUCAUUCCAUGGAUUUCUUUAUGUCCUCACUAUUGCUUUAUUUUUUGUUUUUUCAUGGGUCAGAGGCAUGUUCCAAUUAGAUAUACUUUGGUUUUGAUUAGAGGCUUUGUCGGCCUAUU
rnacentral:lncRNA from 1 species